ensembl:lncRNA
AUGUCACAAAAGGGUCCCCAAAUGGGCUCAAAUGGCCCCAAAGGGUCCCCAAAUGGGAUCAGAUGUCACAAAAGGGGACCCCAAAUGGGAUCAAAUGGCCCCAAAGGGUCCCCAAAUGGGAUCAAAUGUCACCAAAGGGCCCCCAAAUGGGAUCAGAUGUCACCAAAGGGGACCCCAAAUGGGAUCAGAUGUCACCAAAGGGUCCCCAAAUGGGCUCACAUGGCCCCAAAGGGACCCCAAAUGGGAUGAAAUGACUCCAAGGGGACCCCAGAUGGGCUCAAAUGGCCCCAAAGGGUCCCCAAAUGGGAUCAGAUGUCACCAAAGGGGACCCCAAAUGGGAUCAAAUGGCCCCAAAGGGUCCCCAAAUGGGAUCAAAUGUCACCAAAGGGGACCCCAAAUAGGAUGAAAUGACCCCAAAGGGUCCCCAAAUGGGCUGAAAUGGCACCAAGAUGUCCCCAAAGGGGCUCAAAUGGCCCCAAAGGGACCCCAAAUAGGAUCAAAUGUCCCCACGGGGACCCUAAAUGGGAUAAAAUGAUCCCAAAGGGUCCCCAUAUGGGCUCAAAUGGCCCCAAGGGGACCCCAAAUAGGAUGAAAUGACCCCAAAGGGUCCUCACGUGGGCUCAAAUGGCCCCAAAGGGCCCCCAAAUAGGAUCA